AUGGAGGCGCAACUGCUGUCUCGGCUCCUCAUCCUCCUCCUCUGCUUCAUCAUCGUCAUCUUCUCCGGCGAGGCGGCCCCGACGACCCUGGUCACCAGCCUCCCAGGCUUUGACGGCGCCCUGCCGUUCCGUCUUGAGACCGGGUACGUGACUGUGGACGAUGAGCACGGCUCAGAGCUCUUCUACUACUUCAUCGAGUCGGAGGGUGACCCACGGCGUGACCCUGUCCUCCUCUGGCUCACCGGCGGCGACCGCUGCAGCGUGCUCAGCGCACUGCUCUUCGAGAUGGGCCCGCUGAGGUUCGUGAUCGAGCCCUACGACAGCGCCGCCGGGACCGUGCCGCGGCUGCACUACCACCCCUACUCCUGGACCAAGGCCGCCAGCGUCCUCUUCGUCGACUCGCCCGUCGGCGCCGGCUUCUCCUUCUCCCGGGACCCCAGAGGGUACGACGUCGGAGAGGUCUCUUCUUCGCUGCAGCUCAAAAUGUUCCUCACCAAGUGGUUCACUCAGCAUCCCGAUUUCCUCUCAAAUCAUUUCUAUGUCGGGGGAGACUCGUACGCCGGAAAGUACGCACCAAUCGUCACGCAGAAGAUCUCAGAAGAUAUUGAAGCGGGAGUGAAGCCGACAAUUAAUCUCAAGGGCUAUCUGGUAGGCAACCCGUUUACGGGUGAGGCCAUUGAUAUGGAUUCUAGAGUGCCAUAUCUUCAUGGAGUGGGAGUCAUUUCCGAUCAGUUAUAUGAGACAAUAACGGAGCACUGCCAUGGGGAAUGUUAUGACAACCCCAAGAAUGUGAUCUGCGCUCAAGCUAUGGACAGGUUUAAGGCGUUGCUUGAAGAAAUUUAUGACUCCCAUAUUUUGGAUAAAAAGUGCAAUUAUCUGUCUCCCACACCAAACGAUGAGACUACACAAGGCAGGAUCCUCCAACAAGAAACUGGAGCACUGAAACAUCCACCACCUCGGUUUCCAGUGGAUUGCCAUAGCUAUAUUACCUACCUGAUAUAUGUUUGGGCUAACAACAACAUCAUACGGGAAAAACUUGGAAUCAAGGAGGGGAGCAUGGGCGAAUGGGUGAGGUGCCAUGAAAAAGACCUACCUUUCACCCAUGACAUUGAGAGCAGUAUAAAGUACCAUCGUAAUAUUACGUCAAAAGGUUAUCGUGCCUUGGUAUAUAGUGGAGACCAUGAUGCUGUUGUACCUUUUUUGGGUACACAGUCUUGGGUAAGAUCACUCAAUUUCUCCAUUAUGGAUGAAUGGAGGGCUUGGCAUCUUGAUGGACAAUCCGCUGGAUUCACAAUAGCAUAUACAAAUAACAUGACGUUCGCCACCGUAAAGGGUGGUGGACACACUGCACCGUCGUACCAACCAGAGAGAUGCCUCGCAAUGCUUAGGCGUUGGAUUUCCAAUGAGCCACUCUGA
rnacentral:rRNA from 1 species